GACGAACGCUGGCGGCGUGCUUAACACAUGCAAGUCGAACGGACCUUCGGGUUAGUGGCGAACGGGUGAGUAACACGUGGGUGAUCUGCCCUGCACUUUGGGAUAAGCCUGGGAAACUGGGUCUAAUACCGGAUAGGACCAAGGCAUUCAUGUGUUGUGGUGUAAAGCUUUUGCGGUGUGGGAUGGGCCCGCGGCCUAUCAGCUUGUUGGUGGGGUAAUGGCCUACCAAGGCGACGACGGGUAGCCGGCCUAAGAGGGUGACCGGCCACACUGGGACUGAGAUACGGCCCAGACUCCUACGGGAGGCAGCAGUGGGGAAUAUUGCACAAUGGGCGCAAGCCUGAUGCAGCGACGCCGCGUGAGGGAUGACGGCCUUCGGGUUGUAAACCUCUUUCGCCAGGGACGAAGCGCAAGUGACGGUACCUGGAGAAGAAGGACCGGCCAACUACGUGCCAGCCGCCGCCGUAAAAC
rnacentral:rRNA from 1 species